UGGAAAAACUGUCUUCCACGAAACCUGUUCCUGGUGCCAAAAAGGUUGGGGACCGCUGCUAUAAAGGGAAACAGCAACUCUGCAAAACUGAAAAUGAAAUAACUUCAACUUCAGGGCAAUUCUUAAAUGAUAGGGGGGAAAAAUGCACCCCUGGUAGACUUGGAAACAGCAUAUCUAACUCAGCCGAGAAAGCACAACAUAGGAUUGCAAAGAUGGAGUUUUUAUUAGUCUGGCUUCAGAAUGCAAAAAUAAAUAGAAAAACAAACAGAAAACAAACGUAUUUACAGAAAGCACAGUCAUUACUUAAAAGCAGCGCCCAUGCGGAGCUGUACUUUCUGGUCCUAGCGGCAUGUCAGGUUCCCUCACGCUGACGAGGAACCAUUCUAGAUUGUUUUCUCUGCAUCUUUCUGCUUUCUCAUGUGGCUGUUAAGAAGCCCCCUGCAAUUCUGACGACUUUACAUCCUUAGCCAUAACUACACUUGUUUUCCCUCUUGCAUCCUAAGAUCUUUUUACCUUCCAGACACUUAUGAUGUCUCCGUGCCUCCCUCCUGUGUCUUACAGAGAGGUAGGGGCAGGGACUGCGAUUGAAGCUGAAGCUGAAUUUUAAUUUCAAUCAUUUUAUUUUUAGCCCUUUUAAAAUUCAGGCAUCCACAGACUAAACUUGUUUAGAAGUAUAGGUGGCCCUGAAUUGCUUUGUCAACAACACUUCAAGGCCAUCCUCAUGGUUAUGGGAACUAGAAUCUCCUUCUCCAGGAUUUUGUGAACAGGUCUGUGUCUUCACAUCUCUAAUUAAAUGUCUCUUGCAUUCUCAUCCUUCACAACUGUAUGACGGCGUUGGUAUCAAAAUACUGUGUGCUUACUGGUUGUCCUAAAACUGAGGUACUUGCAGCCUUGCUUGCAGUAUAAAUAACACUUAAAUUCACAUUUUGCAUAACAGGGGCCCUGAUCCUCAUGGAUAGGGUCAUGAGAGUAUGAAACAUUCAAUACAUCCUGGCACACAAAUGUUAAAUAACGGUAAUAAAUUAAUAAAUACAUAAAUUAUGUAAAUAUUUAAAUAGCAUUAAUGUCAGCGGCAACUUGAUAGCUGGAAAAAUCCAUAUGUGAAUUAGCUUGAUUGCUUCUGUGGGCAGUUAGCAUCUACCUAUAAAAAUACAGCAAAGACAUCAUGGCGAUCCUAAAAAAAUUUUUUUAAAAAGCAAAUCAAGUGGAAAAUAUCUUUUUGGGUCUUUUCCAUUGUGUCUUUAAAAAAGCUUUGUCGACUGUCUUCUACUUUUCCUCCAAGGUUUCCUCCUGGGACCGGAACCUGAAAAAGAACGCCGAAAGUCUAUGUGGGAUAGACGUGCAGCAGCAAACCUUCUUCCUCACAGCACGUCAUUCCAGACAAUUGGGUUUUGGGAAUUUCAUGUCAGAAGGCCUGGGAAUUUCAUGUAUGUGGCCUAGAAUUUGGCUGUGUCAUGCUUGCCAUCCUUGCUGAAAAUCCUUGAGUGGCUCCCCAGGGCUCCUAAUGCAAGGUCCUAUCUCAUGGACGUUUGCAAGGCCUCCAUGCCCUGACUCCUGGCUACCUCUUUCUCUUCGUGGCCUCCCCCUCUAGGAGGGCAGGACCCACGGCUCUUUUCUUUACUGCAGCACAGUGCUCGACAGAACACAGGCAUCAAGUAACUACCUGUUAAGGAACAAACGUACAUUUCUGAUACUGGCAGCUCUGUGCUGGACACCCCAUCCCCCUUUCCUCUCUCGCACAGCCCCUCCUUUUCCCUGCACCUGGGACCACUGAGUGUGCGCCUCGGGCUUGGGCUUCCCGGGCCUGCUCACCUAACUGCAGGGCACAGAUGCCCAUUCGCUCCACGAUGAGCUAUAGUAGCGGUCCUGGGCUUGCACGCGAACGUUGGCAUGCUUUUGGCAGAUGACGGUGGCUGAGGUCUCAUCCGUGAAGACUCUAUCUUUCUGCAAAUGAGAAGGAAAUCCGUGAAGGUGCAUUGUCCAUUGGCAACGCAGUCACAAGCUUCAUGAGUUUGUAUCCUGAUCUUUUCAUUAGACAAACUUGCCUUGAAAUCCUGGCACUGCUACUUAACAGCUGGGGAACUUCAGUUGUGAGUCCACUGGGGAGUUACUCAACUCCCCUGAGCCCCGGGCUGGCACAUGUGAACCCCUCUGCCUCUGGUGCUCACGCCGGUGCCUGGGGAAGGCAGUCAUCAUCAACGGCCAUCUCCGUUACUGCGGGACCUGAGAGAUCUCAGCAUCCUCAUCGCUGCACAAUCACAUGGGCCCUCGCGGUGGAACCACCUCUGCUUAGUGCUCAGAAGAAAGUCCUUAGAGACAAGAAGACUCAGAUCUGGGCCAUACAGGCACGGACCAGCCUCUGGUGCUCAAGCCCUCACUUGGCACCAGACGCAGAACUGAGCUGAGCCUCUCGCUGGGGAUGAGCAAAUAAUUACUGAGCACCCAUGAUGUUCCAGCCACUAGACUAUGCGUGGAGGAUGCAGCAGUAUCCCAAAGACUCCCUCCUCAAGCAGGGGACCUUCUUCUGGACAAGGGGAGGGAGAGAUGAGCUAUGGCGUGUGCUUGGGCUCUGUGGGCCGGCACUGCUCCACACACAGACCACAGCUCCCAGCAGACAACAGUGUGUACAUCGUACUUCUCUGGGUGCAAAAUAGAUGAUGCUUGGAAACCCCCAUGCACUGUUACCCUAGUGCAUGGGACACUGUGAACAUGUGACAAAUCGUCCGAAACUCACUGAUGUCCCUGAUGAAGAAGCUGCUGGUGUAGUUUUCGUACUUGAGCUUGUGAACAGCAUCCAGCACGACCUCAAUGGGCAGGCUUUCCUCGGCGGCCGGGCAGGCACUGUCCUCCUGGCACUCCACCGAGAACCUCUUGUACUCCCCGUGGUCCCUCUCUGCAGAGAGUGUGGCGCUUCCACAUGUCACCCCUCCCGCAUCAGAGGAACUGGAGUCAAAGACAGAAAGUAUUCUGUGUCACACACUGGCGAGCGAGUGCCUACUGAUGGUAGCCAGCGAGGCAGGUGAGGCCUCAACUGCCUGCCUGAGUACACAAUUUUCUACCCAGAGGGUAAGAAACUGCCUUCCCCAGGAAAUAAGCUUAUCUCCAAGAGACAGCACAAAUGUUUAGAAACCUGCACUUAUGUGUCUCUGGCCUACAUGAACAUGGAAGUUUUUCAGAUUCAGAGUCGCUGAUUUAAUUAAAAUUAAAAAUUUAAAUUCGUUUUUCUAAUUUUAAUUACAAAAAUCAAUACAUGCUAAUUGCAAAAAUUAAAACGAUGAAGAUUUAUAUAAUGGGAAUAAGUGUGUGCCUUUUUCAUCUCCCC